rnacentral:lncRNA from 1 species
GAGCAAUUCAGAUUUCAUGUGUAGAAGAAAAGUUCAACAUAAACAUAUUGGACAAUAUUAAUGUAAAAUAUGGUCAGCCUUCCACAUUCUUAUUAUUCAGAAUAAAACUUUUAUCUAUAGCGAAUAUUCCUGAAGAACGUUUGGAAUUCUUCAGAAUCCAAACGUUGAAUGUCCCAUUCAAGCUGUCAGGUUCCAAAUCCUAUGUUUCCUGAAGAGACAUGGCUGGGAUCCGGCUGGGAAAAUUCCGAAGGUGCCAACCUUCAGGUCACGGUACCUGACUGGUGCUGCAUUCUCCUUCCAGCCUUGAAGAUUCUGAAAGUGGAGGUUUCUUAAGCAGAUACAGAGCUAAUGGCCAGGUUUCUUGGGAGUACAUUACAAUAAAUGCAAGAGGUGCAGAAAGCAAGAAAUUGCUCUGGAUCUUAGAAAAAUGGGCUUGGAGCUCCAUUAGUGUCUGCUACCUUCUGCAACCCAGAUUCCAAAUUGUUUUCCAGACUUGUGUUAGAGUUAUUGGUGUCAGAACAUCUUUUUUCAUCCCCAGGGAUAAGACACAAACACCUGCAAAGCUGACUCAUGAAAGGAGACAAGGCACUACUAUGACAGUGGAUUGUGGGAGCUGUGAGGUGUGAGGAGCACACGUGUGACCUUCUGGAGCGUCUGGGCACUCCUCUCUGCUACAGAACUACAAAUGCUGUUUGGAGACCAGGAGCAGCCUGUUGUUGCAUUUAUUUUAGGGAUAUCCACGGAAUCUGAAAGUGCUUCUCUCCUUCCGUCCUCUCAACCUUCCAUCACUGCACUGCUGUGGCUAAAAGGAGACCAAAAGACUGACACCAGGUGGCAAAGGGAAUCUAAGAGAUGCAGCAGGCAGUGCCCCAGCCCUCUCAGUAAUUAGCAGUGCACAGAAGGGAGCAGAGGAAAAAAGCAGGUAAAUGACCAGUACCUUCCCAUUUGCUCCAGCUUGUGUGUUUUAUUGUCACAAAGUAUUUAAAUAUUUUUUAAGUUCCACCAGACAUUAAUUUUACUGCCUGAUGAAAUCAGAAUUCAUAUAGAGCUAUCCAUAAGUGUACUAUUUUCUUUAUUAUUUUUUUUUGAGAUUUGCUGGGAAUGAACUCGUUUUUUUCUUUGUCUGAAAAUGUCUUUAUUUACCUUCAUUCUUACAGAUCUUUUUAUUCAGUAUAGAAUUUUAGCUUUGCAAUUACUUUCUUUCAGUGUAUUAACGGGUCUUUCUGUAUUCUAUUUGCGUAGCCAUGGCUGCUUUGUUUUGUUUUGUUUUGUUUUGCUUUGCUUUUUGAGCUCUGUUACCCAGGAUGGAGUACAGUGGUGAGAUCUUGGCUCACUGCGGCCUCCGCCUCCCUGGUUCAAGUGGUUCUCCUGCCUCAGCCUCCAAAGUAGCUGG